rnacentral:rRNA from 1 species
GAACGCUGGCGGCGUGCCUAAUACAUGCAAGUCGAGCGAACAGAUAAGGAGCUUGCUCCUUUGACGUUAGCGGCGGACGGGUGAGUAACACGUGGAUAACCUACCUAUAAGACUGGGAUAACUUCGGGAAACCGGAGCUAAUACCGGAUAAGAUUUUGAACCGCAUGGUUCAAUAGUGAAAGACGGCCUUGCUGUCACUUAUAGAUGGAUCCGCGCCGUAUUAGCUAGUUGGUAAGGUAACGGCUUACCAAGGCAACGAUACGUAGCCGACCUGAGAGGGUGAUCGGCCACACUGGAACUGAGACACGGUCCAGACUCCUACGGGAGGCAGCAGUAGGGAAUCUUCCGCAAUGGGCGAAAGCCUGACGGAGCAACGCCGCGUGAGUGAUGAAGGUCUUCGGAUCGUAAAACUCUGUUAUCAGGGAAGAACAAACGUGUAAGUAACUGUGCACGUCUUGACGGUACCUGAUCAGAAAGCCACGGCUAACUACGUGCCAGCAGCCGCGGUAAUACGUAGGUGGCAAGCGUUAUCCGGAAUUAUUGGGCGUAAAGCGCGCGUAGGCGGUUUUUUAAGUCUGAUGUGAAAGCCCACGGCUCAACCGUGGAGGGUCAUUGGAAACUGGAAAACUUGAGUGCAGAAGAGGAAAGUGGAAUUCCAUGUGUAGCGGUGAAAUGCGCAGAGAUAUGGAGGAACACCAGUGGCGAAGGCGACUUUCUGGUCUGUAAC